GCAGCGCCGCAGUGACCUCCGCGGCGCCGAUGUCGGCGGAGAGGCGGCGGCGUGGAAGGCGGCGGAGGAGACGAAGGGGAAGGGAGACGGAAAGGGCGAGAAGGGUGAGAGAGUCGUCGUCGUCGAAGGCAGUGGAGGAGGGUCAGAGAAGGGAACAGAAAAAAAUCGCAGCGCGGCCUCGGCGGGGUCGGAGGCGAGGAAGGCGGGGGUACACGGGCGAGGGUAAGGAUGCGCCGGACAAAACCGAAGCGGGCCGCC
rnacentral:lncRNA from 1 species